UGGUGGGCUGGUGCAUGUCCUAGCAGCAGGGCUCCCCUGUGUCCCGGGGAGGUGUUUCCCCUGCUCGUUCCCUCGGGCCCAACACAUCUGCCUCCUCAGGGAGCUGCCCCCUUCCAGGUCCUGCUGAGGAGGGAACUCUCAAACCUGCCACCUGCUCAGGGACCGGGGAGUGCUGUGGGCCACCCUACUCUCUCCUUGCCUCAGGCACGGCCCUGUUCUCUGAAGGGAGCCAGGCGCAGGCGGCGCUGCCUUAGCGAUGGAAAGCAGGCAUUUCACUGUUGAUGUUCCCCAGUCCUGCCGGCUGACGGUUACUAGGGGAUCCUGAAGGAUGUGUUUUCCUGUGACCCUUUGAGAAGAAAAACUUAGUUGCCUCAGUAACCAAGUUUGGCUUGGAUGCAAUGAUGCAGUAAAUAGCAUAGUUUUCUUCCAGAGUUGUGUCUUUUCUAAAACACUGGUAUUCUGAAGAAAAAAUGGGCUGCUGUACACAAGACUGAUUCUGUUCCCAGCCUGAGGAUCAACAGAGAACUGAGCUGUCAAGCUUACAGAUGCAUCAGGAGUGAGGGGACAGCGAGUGUGUCAGUGCAGGCCACGCAGCAGAUAGGUAUGCAUCCAGUCGAUGGAUGAGGCUAUGUGUGUACAUUUCAUUAAGGGAACAAAAGUAACUGGAGCAAACUGUGCAGCUAAUGCUUUUACUCCUUUGAAUUAUUGUCAAGGAGGUAUUGGUAUAAAUAAACAUCCCUUCAGCUUAUUUCACCUCUGAAAGCUACUCACUGUUUUAAUUAAAGGACAUUCAAGGAUGAAUAAUGAAUGUUACUAUUUCUACAU